UAGAGUUUGAUCCAUGGCUCAGAUUGAACGCUGGCGGCAGGCCUAACACAUGCAAGUCGAGCGGUAGAGAGAAGCUUGCUUCUCUUGAGAGCGGCGGACGGGUGAGUAAAGCCUAGGAAUCUGCCUGGUAGUGGGGGAUAACGUUCGGAAACGGACGCUAAUACCGCAUACGUCCUACGGGAGAAAGCAGGGGACCUUCGGGCCUUGCGCUAUCAGAUGAGCCUAGGUCGGAUUAGCUAGUUGGUGAGGUAAUGGCUCACCAAGGCGACGAUCCGUAACUGGUCUGAGAGGAUGAUCAGUCACACUGGAACUGAGACACGGUCCAGACUCCUACGGGAGGCAGCAGUGGGGAAUAUUGGACAAUGGGCGAAAGCCUGAUCCAGCCAUGCCGCGUGUGUGAAGAAGGUCUUCGGAUUGUAAAGCACUUUAAGUUGGGAGGAAGGGCAGUUACCUAAUACGUGAUUGUUUUGACGUUACCGACAGAAUAAGCACCGGCUAAC
rnacentral:rRNA from 1 species